rnacentral:rRNA from 1 species
UACGAAGGGGGGCUAGCGUUGCUCGGAAUUACUGGGCGUAAAGCGCACGUAGGCGGUUUCUUAAGUCGGGGGUGAAAUCCUGGAGCUCAACUCCAGAACUGCCUUCGAUACUGGGAAACUUGAGUCCGGGAGAGGUGAGUGGAACUGCGAGUGUAGAGGUGAAAUUCGUAGAUAUUCGCAAGAACACCGGUGGCGAAGGCGGCGACCUGGUCCUUGACUGACGCUGAGGCGCGAAAGCGUGGGGAGCAAACAGG